UGAGAUAGCUUGUGCAAUUUUAACGUAUGCUGGACCAAGCUGUAAUAGUAUCUUCCUCAAUUCUGCAGCUCUAAUUUUGAACAUCUCAUCGGCGCGUUCAUUAACAGUAUCCAGGUACCUGACGGCGAACCACUUGCCCAGAGUAGAACCGAUUUGGACGAGCCUACGAAGUACAAUCAACGGUUUCUUCUGAUAAAACGCAGCAAUUUUCGCGAUAUUAUACUCCGUAAGAGAAUCUUCCUCCGACGGAUUCAGCUCGAAAACGUAGCCAGAGUACUUCGUGAAAUCAUCCACCUCACGCGCAACUGCCGCAACCGGCAGCGCUACGCGACUGGAGCUGGAAUUGACCUUGCUACGCCGGAAUAGACAGCGGAAGGAUCCGUCGGAGAGUGAAUUGGCGGCGAAUAACGGCAGCGGUUGCGGCGGGACGACCAGCAUUUUGUGGCGGAGCGAUUGUAAUUUUG
rnacentral:misc_RNA from 1 species